rnacentral:rRNA from 1 species
UACGAAGGGGGCUAGCGUUGCUCGGAAUCACUGGGCGUAAAGGGCGCGUAGGCGGUCUUUUAAGUCGGGGGUGAAAGCCUGUGGCUCAACCACAGAAUUGCCUUCGAUACUGGGAGACUUGAGUUCGGUAGAGGUUGGUGGAACUGCGAGUGUAGAGGUGAAAUUCGUAGAUAUUCGCAAGAACACCGGUGGCGAAGGCGGCCAACUGGACCGACACUGACGCUGAGGCGCGAAAGCGUGGGGAGCAAACAGGAUUAGAUACCCGUGUAGUCC